UACCAGCUCUCCGAGUGGUAGGGAUGAUUAUUGGGCUUAAAGCGUCCGUAGCCGGCUUAGCAAGUCUCCUGUUAAAUUCAGCGACCUAAUCGUUGAGCCGCGGGAGAUACUACUAGGCUAGGAGGCGGGAGAGGUCAACGGUACUUCCGGGGUAGGGGUGAAAUCCUAUAAUCCCGGGAGGACCACCAGUGGCGAAGGCUGUUGACUAGAACGCGCUCGACGGUGAGGGACGAAAGCUGGGGGAGCGAACCGGAUUAGAUACCCGGGUAGUCCCAGCUGUAAACGAUGCGAGCUAGGUGUUGGGGUGGCUACGUGCCACUUCAGUGCCGCAGGGAAGCCAUUAAGCUCGCCGCCUGGGGAGUACGGCCGCAAGGCUAGAAACUUAAAGGAAUUGGGCGGGGGAGCACCACAAGGCGUGAAGCUUGCGGUUC
rnacentral:rRNA from 1 species